rnacentral:ncRNA from 1 species
CGCGGCGGAAAUGAAAAGGGAAGUUGGGUGUGAAUCCCACGCAAUCCCGUUGCUGUAUAAGCGGAGCGUUGUUCCAUGCGCCACUGGCAUCUGCCGGGAAGGCGGAACGCCGCGUUGAUGCGAAGCCAGAAGACCUGCCUUAUUCGGUA